rnacentral:rRNA from 1 species
GACGAACGCUGGCGGCGUGCUUAACACAUGCAAGUCGAACGGAGUUAUGUUUUCGGAUGUAACUUAGUGGCGAACGGGUGAGUAACGCGUGAGGAACCUGCCUUUCAGUGGGGGACAACAGUUGGAAACGACUGCUAAUACCGCAUGACACUACCGAGUGGCAUCACUUGGUAGUCAAAGAUUUAUUGCUGAAAGAUGGCCUCGCGUCUGAUUAGCUAGUUGGUGGGGUAACGGCCCACCAAGGCGACGAUCAGUAGCCGGACUGAGAGGUUGACCGGCCACAUUGGGACUGAGAUACGGCCCAGACUCCUACGGGAGGCAGCAGUGGGGAAUAUUGGGGCAAUGGGCGAAAGCCUGACCCAGCAACGCCGCGUGAAGGAAGAAGGCCUCGGUU